GACGAACGCUGGCGGCGUGCUUAACACAUGCAAGUAGAACGAAGUGGCGAACGGGAGAGUAAUCCGUGAGUACCCUGCCCUCCUUUAUGGGAUAAGCCUUGGAAACGGGGUCUAAUACCGGAUAAAGGGGGAUGGGCUCGCGGCCUAUGAGCUUGUUGGUGGGGUGCUAGCCUACCAAGGCGGUGACGGGUAGCAGGCCUGAGAGGGUGAUCGGCCACAUUGGGACUGGGAUACGGCCCAGACUCCUACGGGUGGCAGCAGUGGGGGAUGUUGCACAAUGGGCGCAAGCCUGAUGCAGCGACGCCGCGUGAGGUAUGAAGGCUUUCGGGUUGUAAACCUCUUUCGGUACAGAACGGGUAUGUGCAGAAGAAGCGCCGGCUAACUACGUGCCAGCAGCCGCGGUAAUUC
rnacentral:rRNA from 1 species